AUCUAUAAAGCCUGAUCCGAAGCCCAGUGAAAUCAAUGGGAUUCUUUCCAUUGACUUUAAUGGGCUUUGGAUGAAGCUUUGUAUGU
rnacentral:pre_miRNA from 1 species